GAGGAAUAUUGCUCAAUGGGCGAAAGCCUGAAGCAGCAUCGCCGCGUGCGCGAUGAAGGUCUUCGGAUCGUAAAGCGCUUUUGAGAGGGACGAGAUAGGACGGUACCUCUUGAAUAAGUCACGGCUAACUACGUGCCAGCAGCCGCGGUAAAACGUAGGUGGCAAGCGUUAUCCGGAUUCACUGGGCGUAAAGCGCGUGCAGGUGGCUUCGUAAGUUGGACGUUAAAUCUUUCGGCCUAACCGGGAGGUGUCGUUCAAUACUGCGGGGCUUGAGGGUAGAAGAGGGGGGUGGAAUUGCCGGUGUAGUGGUGAAAUGCGUAGAUAUCGGCAGGAACACCUGUGGCGAAAGCGGCCCCCUGGUCUGCUCCUGACACUCAGACGCGAAAGCUAAGGGAGUGAACG
rnacentral:rRNA from 1 species